UACAGAGGAGCCAAGCGUUGUCCGGAUUGACUGGGCGUAAAGCGCACGCAGGCGGACGCGCGCGUGGGGUGUGAAAUCUGGCCGCUUAACGGCCAGGCGCCAUCCCAUACGGCGCGACUGGAGUGAUGCAGAGGUCGAUGGAAUUGCCGGUGUAGUGGUGAAAUGCGUAGAUAUCGGGAGGAACACCGGUGGCGAAGGCGGUUCUCUGGGCCUUACCUGACGCUGAGGAGCGAAAGCGUGGGGAGCGAACAGG
rnacentral:rRNA from 1 species